rnacentral:rRNA from 1 species
UUGGGGGAUAACUAGCCGAAAGGUUAGCUAAUACCGCAUACGAUCUACGCCGGGCAUCCGAUGUAGAUGAAAGAAGCAAUUCGCAAAAGGAUGGGACCGCGUCCCAUUAGCUAGAUGGUGGGGUAACGGCCUACCAUGGCUCCGAUGGGUAGCUGGUUUGAGAGAGCGACCAGCCACACUGGGACUGAGAAACGGCCCAG